ACAUAAAUUUAACACCACAAAAAUUAAUCACCGCUAUCAUAUUUCUUAGUAAUUCUUUUGCUUUUUAUUAUAUUUAUAGCAUAACAUGAAAUUAUUCUUCAAAAUUGAUCUAGAAGGCAGGGAAUAAAAGAUGAUUUUAACAACAUCAGUAACUACUAUUAAUCCUAUUAUUACUCCACGCUAAAAAAAUGACACUAUCAACAGUUAGGAGUCACAUAGCUAGUCCUCAAUAACAAUCUUUUCAAACGCUUUUUAGAUUUUUUUUUUAAAACUAUAACUAAUGGUAUAUAUUGGAUUUUUUAAAAUUAUUUUCCAGACAUGAAUAUUCUAUUUUUAAAGAAUAAAUCGAUGCACAAUUUUCAAGCUGAUCAUUGUAAUUUAAAUUAAUUAGAUUAUUUUGGAUCGAAGAAUAGUAAGAACACAUUCCGAAAUUAUGGGAAAUGACAUGGUAGAAUCUUUUCGUAAGAGCUCUAACUAAAUUUAAUUGACAAAUAUUAACAUCUUCCAAGAUCCAAAAUUCCCAACUAGGAAAAGAAUUCACACAUGACGAAAUCAUUUUUUUAAAUUCUUAAUUAGGAUCAUAAUAAGGACUUCCAAUAUUCUGGGAAUUGGCAUUAAAGACCUUUUCGCCUGUAAUAACUAUACCAAAUUCAUCACAAUAAUAACGUCAUAUUGACAUAAUCCAAAAAAAAAAAAAAAAAAAAAAAAACACAAAUAGCAACAAUAAAA